rnacentral:sRNA from 1 species
UUCCCAGUUUGAUUUUUCUGCUUUUGUUUAGCCACAUGAAAUGAAGAUCACCUCUGCCUAUCUGCAGGACAUUGAGAAUGCCUAUAAGAAAACCUUUCUCCCUGAGAUGAGUGAAAAAUGUGAGGUUUUACAGUAUUCUGCAAGGGAAGCUCAAGAUUCAAAAAAGGUGGUAGAGGACAUUGAAUACCUGAAGUUCGAUAAAGGGCCGUGGCUCAAGCAGGACAAUCACACUUUAUACCACCUGCGAUUACUGGUUCAGGAUAAGUUUGAGGUGCUGAAUUACACAAGCAUUCCUGUCUUUCUCCCGGAAGUCACCAUUGGAGCUCAUCAGACUGACCGUGUCUUACAUCAAUUCAGAGAGCUGCCGGGCCGCAAGUACAGCCCUGGGUACAACACCGAGGUGGGAGACAAGUGGAUCUGGCUGAAGUGAACGGGCCGCCUUCUGCUCCAGCUGCGUCACAGCGAUGGCCAAGCUGCAUCAGCCGCACUCUCCUGGACGCCAUAUAGCUUUAAGAUCGGUGGGAGGGUAAAGAAUGCAAAAAUUGCACAGUGGAGGAAGUGGUCUCACAAAAAGCAAUCCAUCCUGUAGUAUAUAGGUAAUGGAGUUGGGGGAAGCAGCUUCCGUUCUGGAUGUUUGGAACCCUUUAGCUUUGUUUUGGAAUGGCCCACCAUUCUCACUGGAAAACAGUGGUCUGCUGUGAAAGGCCAGCUCUCGGCGGCCCCUGUGGUUUCAGCGCUGCCGCUCUGUGUCAUUCAGGUUGUGUACAUUGUUUUUCUUCCGACUUCCAGAAAUAAAAGCGUUUCCAUGGGACUUUCCCCA